rnacentral:rRNA from 1 species
AUUGAACGCUGGCGGCAUGCUUUACACAUGCAAGUCGAACGGUAGACCCUUUCGGGGGUUGAGAGUGGCGAACGGGUGAGUAAUGCAUCGGAACAUACCCAGUCGUGGGGGAUAACGUAGCGAAAGUUACGCUAAUACCGCAUGAGUCCUGAGGGAGAAAGCGGGGGAUCGCAAGACCUCGCGCGAUUGGAGUGGCCGAUGUCAGAUUAGCUAGUUGGUGGGGUAAAGGCCUACCAAGGCGACGAUCUGUAGCGGGUCUGAGAGGAUGAUCCGCCACACUGGGACUGAGACACGGCCCAGACUCCUACGGGAGGCAGCAGUGGGGAAUUUUGGACAAUGGGCGAAAGCCUGAUCCAGCCAUGCCGCGUGCGGGGAAGAAGGGCCUCGGUUGUAAGUACUCUUUCGGUCCGGGAGGAAAGUACGACGACAGGUUAAGUACCUACGUGUGGAGUGACGGUACCGGAACGUAAGAAGACACCGGC